rnacentral:rRNA from 1 species
AGAGUUUGAUCCUGGCUCAGGAUAAACGCUGGCGGCGCACAUAAGACAUGCAAGUCGAACGAACUUAACCAUUAGUUUACUAUUGGAGCGGUUAGUGGCGGACUGGUGAGUAACACGUAAGCAACCUGCCUAUCAGAGGGGAACAACAGUUAGAAAUGACUGCUAAUACCGCAUAUGCCUUAGAAUCACAUGGUUCGAAAGGGAAAGGAGCAAUCCGGCUGACAGAUGGGCUUGCGUCUGAUUACG